CCUACGGGUGGCAGCAGUGAGGAAUAUUGGUCAAUGGCCGGAAGCCUGAACCAGCCAAGUCGCGUGCAGGAUGACGGCCCUACGGGUUGUAAACCGCUUUUAUACGGGAACAACGCGCCUUACGUGUAGGUCUUUGCAUGUACCCUAUGAAUAAGGAUCGGCUAAUUCCGUGCCAGCAGCCGCGGUAAUACGGAAGGUCCGGACGUUAUCCGGAUUUAUUGGGGUUAAAGGGUGCGGAGGCCGGAGGUCAAGCGUGCUGUGAAAUGUCCGGGCUCCACCCGGGCCUUGCAGUGCGAACUGGAGUGCUUGAGUGCGCGAGAAGCAGGCGGAAUUCGUCGUGUAGCGGUGAAAUGCAUAGAUAUGACGCAGAACCCCGAUUGCGAAGGCAGCAUGCUGCAGCGGAACUGACGCUGAUGCUCGAAAGCGCGGGUAUCGAACAGGAUUAGAUACCCCAGUAGUC
rnacentral:rRNA from 1 species